AAUAGAUACCCAGGUAGUCCACCCCGUAAACGUUGGGAACUAGUUGUGGGGACCAUUCCACGGUUUCCGUGACGCAGCUAACGCAUUAAGUUCCCCGCCUGGGGAGUACGGCCGCAAGGCUAAAACUCAAAGGAAUUGACGGGGACCCGCACAAGCGGCGGAGCAUGCGGAUUAAUUCGAUGCAACGCGAAGAACCUUACCAAGGCUUGACAUAUACGAGAACGGGCCAGAAAUGGUCAACUCUUUGGACACUCGUAAACAGGUGGUGCAUGGUUGUCGUCAGCUCGUGUCGUGAGAUGUUGGGUUAAGUCCCGCAACGAGCGCAACCCUCGUUCUAUGUUGCCAGCACGUAAUGGUGGGAACUCAUGGGAUACUGCCGGGGUCAACUCGGAGGAAGGUGGGGAUGACAUCAAAUCAUCAUGCCCCUUAUGUCUUGGGCUUCACGCAUGCUACAAUGGCCGGUACAAAGGGCUGCAAUCCGUAAGGUGGAGCGAAUCCCAAAAAGCCGGUCCCAGUUCGGAUUGAGGUCUGCAACUCGA
rnacentral:rRNA from 1 species